CCUACGGGUGGCAGCAGUAGGGAAUUUUGCUCAAUGGGCGAAAGCCUGACGCAGCCACGCCGCGUGAACGAGACGCCCUUCGGGGUGUAUAGUUCUCUCAUUGGGGACGAAAAAUGACGGUACCCACAGAGGAAGCACCGGCUAACUCCGUGCCAGCCGCCGCGGUAAUACGGAGGAUUCAAGCGUUAUCCGGAUUUAUUGGGUUUAAAGGGUGCUUAGGCGGUCGUAUAAGUUAGAGGUGAAAUCCCGAGGGUCAACUUCGGCAUUGCCUCUGAUACUGUUCGGCUAGAGAGUAGUUGCGGUAGGCGGAAUGUAUGGUGUAGCGGUGAAAUGCUUAGAGAUCAUACAGAACACCGAUUGCGAAGGCAGCUUACCAAGGUACUUCUGACGUUGAGACACGAAAGCGUGGGGAGCAAACAGGAUUAGAUACCCCGGUAGUC
rnacentral:rRNA from 1 species